rnacentral:rRNA from 1 species
GACGAACGCUGGCGGCGUGCCUAAUACAUGCAAGUAGAACGCUGAAGAGAGGAGCUUACUCUUCUUGGAUGAGUUGCGAACGGGUGAGUAACGCGUAGGUAACCUGCCUUGUAGCGGGGGAUAACUAUUGGAAACGAUAGCUAAUACCGCAUAACAAUGGAUGACACAUGUCAUUUAUUUGAAAGGGGCAAUUGCUCCACUACAAGAUGGACCUGCGUUGUAUUAGCUAGUAGGUGAGGUAAUGGCUCACCUAGGCGACGAUACAUAGCCGACCUGAGAGGGUGAUAGGCCACACUGGGACUGAGACACGGCCCAGACUCCUACGGGAGGCAGCAGUAGGGAAUCUUCGGCAAUGGGGGCAACCCUGACCGAGCAACGUCGCGUGAGUGAAGAAGGUUUUCGGAUCGUAAAGCUCUGUUGUAAGUCAAGAACGGGUGUGAGAGUGGAAAGUUCACACUGUGACGGUAGCUUACCAGAAAGGGACGGCUAACUACGUG